rnacentral:rRNA from 1 species
CCUACGGGAGGCAGCAGUGAGGAAUAUUGGGCAAUGGGCGAGAGCCUGACCCAGCCAUGCCGCGUGCAGGAAGACGGUCCUAUGGAUUGUAAACUGCUUUUAUACGGGAAGAAACCCUGCUACGUGUAGCAGAUUGACGGUACCGUAGGAAUAAGGAUCGGCUAACUCCGUGCCAGCAGCCGCGGUAA